GGGGUUGUAGCUUAGUGAUAGAGCACACGCUUAGCAUGUGUGAGGCCUUGGGUUCAAUCCCCAGUAUCUCA
rnacentral:tRNA from 1 species